UACGUAGGCAGCAAACGUUGUUCGGAAUUACUGGGCGUAAAGAGUGUGUAGGCGGCUUUGUUAGUUUGGUGUGAAAUCUCCCGGCUUAACUGGGAGGGUGCGCCGAAUACUGCAAGGCUAGAGUACUGGAGAGGAAAGCGGAAUUCCUGGUGUAGCGGUGAAAUGCGUAGAUAUCAGGAGGAACACCGGUGGUGUAGACGGCUUUCUGGACAGUAACUGACGCUGAGACACGAAAGCGUGGGGAGCAAACAGG
rnacentral:rRNA from 2 species